ACAACACUAAAUAAAUCAACAUAGGGAUGCAGUAGAAAUUUUGAAACCCAAUAAUUAUGGUUUCAGUUCAUAUUUUGUUU
ensembl:ncRNA B0350.85 ncRNA